GAUGAAGAACGUAGUGAAAUGCGAUAAGUAAUGUGAAUUGCAGAAUUCCGUGAAUCAUCGAAUCUUUGAACGCACAUUGCGCCCCCUGGUAUUCCGGGGGGCAUGCCUGUUCGAGCGUCAUUUCACCACUCAAGCCUCGCUUGGUAUUGGGCAACGCGGUCCGCCGCGUGCCUCAAAUCGACCGGCUGGGUCUUCUGUCCCCUAAGCGUUGUGGAAACUAUUCGCUAAAGGGUGUUCGGGAGGCUACGCCGUAAAACAACCCCAUUUCUAAGGUUGACCUCGGAUCAGGUAGGGAUACCCGCUGAACUUAAGCAUAUCAAUAAGCGGAGG
rnacentral:misc_RNA from 1 species